rnacentral:tRNA from 13 species
CUGUAGUGCAUUGUAGUUGCAUUGCAUGUGUCUGACCAGGGUGCAAUGCCCCUGCAGUGCAAUACAG